CAGCAGCCGCGGUAAUACGGAGGGAGCUAGCGUUGUUCGGAAUUACUGGGCGUAAAGCGCGCGUUGGCGGUUACUCAAGUCAGAGGUGAAAGCCCGGGGCUCAACCCCGGAACUGCCUUUGAAACUAGGUGACUAGAAUCUUGGAGAGGUCAGUGGAAUUCCGAGUGUAGAGGUGAAAUUCGUAGAUAUUCGGAAGAACACCAGUGGCGAAGGCGACUGACUGGACAAGUAUUGACGCUGAGGUGCGAAAGCAUGGGGAGCAAACAGGAUUAGAUACCCCCGUAGUCCCUGUCUCUUAUAC
rnacentral:rRNA from 1 species